rnacentral:rRNA from 1 species
UGGGGAAUUUUCCGCAAUGGGCGAAAGCCUGACGGAGCAAUGCCGCGUGGAGGUGGAAGGCCUACGGGUCGUCAACUUCUUUUCUCGGAGAAGAAACAAUGACGGUAUCUGAGGAAUAAGCAUCGGCUAACUCUGUGCCUG